UUUCAUAGCUCUCUGAUGCCAAGAAUCAUAGAGGCUCUUGUUUGUGGAUAGGAUUGAUUGCGAAGAGCUUGCCUUCUAUUUUAUAUGGAAGAAAUGACGGAUGACACGGAGUAGAUGUCUCAAUGGUAUAGGUAAUAUUGUGACUAAGUAUCGCAUUCGAAGGUAAUAUUGUGAGCUUCUGAUAAAUUUAUUAAUAUUAUUAUUUUUAAUUUAUUUUAUUGUAUUAUAUAAGUUCUAACUUCUAACUUGUAUUUUAUUUUUGUAUUUUGCAGAUUUGUCGAGCUUUAUUGGAUGGCUUCCAUUUGAAGUAACUUAUGAUAGAGAGAAGAUAUGGGAUCUUAUUUGGAGUUGUGACUAGUUAUGACUUAUGGUCGUGUUGCUUAAGAACUUAGUGUUUAUGAUAUUUUAGAUGUAUUGGAUAAUUGAAGCUAUACUGUUAUGUGUUUUAUGUGACAUUUGGGAUUGUAUUUAAUGGUGUUGUGUAUUUGUUAUUUGGUGGCUUUUCAUGACACUUAUCACGGAAGGAUUUUAGUAACUAAAACCAUACUGUAUGAUUUUA
rnacentral:lncRNA from 1 species